AACGAACGCUGGCGGCAGGCUUUACACAUGCAAGUCGAGCGCCCCGCAAGGGGAGCGGCAGACGGGUGAGUAACGCGUGGGAAUCUACCCAUCUCUACGGAAUAACGCAUGGAAACGUGUGCUAAUACCGUAUACGUCCUUCGGGAGAAAGAUUUAUCGGAGAGGGAUGAGCCCGCGUUGGAUUAGCUAGUUGGUGGGGUAAAGGCCUACCAAGGCGACGAUCCAUAGCUGGUCUGAGAGGAUGAUCAGCCACACUGGGACUGAGACACGGCCCAGAAUCCUACGGGAGGCAGCAGUGAGGAAUAUUGGAGAAUGGGCGCAAGCCUGAUCCAGCCAUGCCGCGUGAGUGAUGAAGGCCCUAGGGUUGUAAAGCUCUUUCACCGGUGAAGAUAAUGACGGUAACCGGAGAAGAAGCCCCGGCUAACUUCGUGCCAGCCGCCGCAGUAACAC
rnacentral:rRNA from 1 species